GCCUCUAUAGCUCAGUGGUAGAGCGUUGCACUUGUAAUGCAAAGGUCCAUUCGUUCAAUCCGGUGUGGAGGCA
rnacentral:tRNA from 1 species